rnacentral:tRNA from 1 species
GCAAAGUUGGCAGACAAAUGCGAUUGGCUUAGGACCAAUUAAUGUGGCUCCUUCCCCACACUUUGCU